UAUAAAAGUUUGAUUUCUGCUCACUAGGUGGUGACAAUAUGAAAUAUUUCUUCAACAAAUUUUAUGUUCUAUGGCUCACAUCAAAUUUGGCGGCUCCACAAAGAAAUUUACUAUUGUUCAUUUUGAAUUUCCAGAAGUUGUUUUUUUUUUGUUUCCAACGAUUCUUGAGAAAUUCAUAUUUGUGUUUAAAACAAACAUUUUAAGUAAAUAUUCAGUAUUUUCAUCAGUAGAAACUGGUCAACAUUUUUCAACUAUUUUUGGUGAACAAUGGAAAAUAGUAAACCCUCUCUGCCCUCUUCUCGAUGAAAAUCUCUUUUCAUCGAGAAGUAAACUUCAUCGUGCAGAUUUUCAAAAUCUCUUAAUCAGUUCACAGACCAGUUGGAAGAGAAAAUAAUUAAAUGAUGAUACAAAAUGAAAUUAAUGAAGGCUAUGGCGAAUGAUCUAAUAGUACCCUCGAGGGGCAAAGACCUGGCUUGGAAUGACAAUGAGAGAGAAGAGACUGACUAAAUUGUGUUAAAUGAACCGUCCACUAAAAAUUCUGGAAAAAUCGGGAUUGGAUUGAAACAAGUUUUUCUCUAAACCAGGACAAAAAUCAGUGUGAGACAUUAAAUUACUGCUAUAAUCAUACAAGGUGAGUGAUCGAAAAGCUUCGAUACAGCUCGAUUACUCGAAAAUGUGAAAGAUCGGAGAGAAAUCAAAGUACCCACCAAGGUUUUCUGAUUUUUAUGGCUAUCCAAUGGUGAUUUUGGUGUUUUAAUGUGAAGAACGUUCCUGCGUCAGUUCGUCAUGAAAACAGUUGCAUCGCUGCCACCAUCAUCAUAAUAUGAUAAAGAUAACCAAAUAAAGGCAAUUUACAGGUAGCCUCUGACAUCGACCGGGAAUUUCCAUUACUGGAAAAUCCAUAAGGUUGGGAAUCUUCUGGAAUUUUACGGACUAAUCACCAACUCAAAUUGAAGUGAUGAAAUUGGGUUUUUGAUUUCAUGAAAGUUCCUAUUAGUUCCACAUGAGGUCAUUACAUUGAGGAUUAUAAAUAAUUACUGACAUCCUUACGGAUUUCUAGGUAGAUACGAAGGUUUACAUAAAAACCCUAUAAAUUUGGAAAUAGGAGCUAUUCUUUGGAGGCUUUUGAAAAGAUUCUUGCCGGAAAAAUUGAAAAACUUCAAAUUUCCAUUUUUUGAUGCACAAUCAAUGAUUUUAGGAAAUGAACGACAUGAAUAAAGCAUUGGAAGGUUUUUUCGAAUAUCCCGAUUGCUUUGAUUUAUAAUCGAUAAAAGCUACACGAAUAUAUAUUUUUGUAAACAAAUUAAUUGUUCAUGAUAUGAUUAAUUUUUAUUGGAAUCUGAUUAGUAACGCAAAUGAUUUUCAGAAAAAAUCAUUUUGAAAUAAAAAUCUACAUUGCUUGAAAUCGCAUUCAUUAACUAACUAUUCAUUUGUCGCAGAAAAUAUAAAUAAUGAUGAACUAUUUUUCAUUCCUAUAUUAAACCAUUUUUCAGAUGAAACUGCUCUUCCGUAUUCUAAAAGAAUGUUUCUUGGAAAAUUCUGUAUUU
rnacentral:lncRNA from 1 species